UAGAAGCGCUAAAUGAAGAACACGCGUCAAUCAGAUACCGGUCGAGGUGGAGGAGCGUUUGAGAGCUGUGCGGUCACAGAGGGGGUCGUUCCGGAGCGUCAGUCCCUUGUCGGUCUUUUUGAGUCUUUUGUAUUUCAUUUUACAUAUGUAAUUUCCUUUGUAUUAUUUUCGAAACAAAUCUUCUCCCUCUUCUGUUUGAAAUAAAUGGUACUUUCUUAUUUUA